AGGGGCCCCUUUAAAGGGUGAUAUCAAUAGAGAUGGAUCAGACAACAUCUCUAUGGCAACACCUCCACGGAAAAAUGAUGGCGGCCACAGCAAGACGAGCGAUGACUAUUUUUUUUAAAUAUACACAAAUACAGCACUACGCACCCCAAAGCGCCCUUUGGCUCCCAGGACACAGGGCUGUGUUUAAGACAACAGCAUAGGAGCUCAUGACAAGACUAAUUAGGAGCACAAGGGGAGUAUGCAGGCUCAGGACCGAGAGUUUGACAAUGAAUUAAGACCUGGGGCUUUGGGAUACUGAAAUUUGUCAACAAAAUUAACAUUCCCUUUCCUGGAAACUCUCAAGCUGAAGGAGUUUACGAGGACCUUAUUUUAAGUGUCCAACUUGGAGGGAAUUAUCAGAGAGAGAGAGCGAGAGACGGUAAAAACAAACAGUAGCCGCCAUCAGCCCCUUCAACAGCACUGUAAACCUAGCCAAGGAUGGGUUCCCGCCCACUGCUUCUCACAGCCGUUCUCCUCUGAUGCCUUCGCAGAUCGGAAUUUGGGGAAGGAGUGGCCUCCAUGACCUCAACAUCAGAAGCCUAGAGGGUCUUUGUGGCUUAAAGGGCUGUGACACGUGAAGUACUGGCUGCCGAUUGUAGAGGAGAGAUUCCUGGGCAAGUGCAGAGUUAUAUAGAGUGCCCUUUCUACCUGACACACGAAAGAAAUGAGCUGUAACAGACGCCAGCGGCAGGUGCAGGACCUGUGAGCUUCACUCACUGUGCCCCAGUGUUUGGGUUCCUGCGCUUUGAACCGCCUUACUUUAAGAAGCCUUGUCAUUGGAAAAUUGACCGCAGCUGAUGGCUUCUGUCAUUUGUGCUGUUGUUUGGAGGGCAGGGCUCUGCGUCGCUUUGUCAGGCCGCACAGGGAAUGCGCCACCUCCGGCCCGCACUGUCUGCCUACCCAGACCCACAAGGCUCCUCAAAGCCUCCUCACCAAGGGCUGACUCUUUUGCCUUGUUCUUUCUUUUUCUUUCUGUUUAUUCUUUCAAAACAUGUACUCCUUUUAGGCAGUUGCGAGAACUUCUACAAUAAUCUGUGUUCUAAAUUUUAGGAGCCACAAUAAAAACCUCUCUUUUUUUCCUGCAUUGAGACAUUCUUAAAGUUAAACACAUACAAAUUAGAUGAUUAAAAUAAUUCCAUUUUCUAGGAUCUAUAAUUCAAAACAAAUACCUCUUACAGAAUUUUUAAAUUCUAUUAACCUAGUUAAAAUACCUAUUUUAUAUCCAUUUGAGAUAUAACAAAUAUUAAUUUCACUAAUUUAUAUUGGUUUCUCUAUCUCACUAAUAUAUAUUAGUUAAAAUGUCUGAAAGGGCUACGAAAAAGCAUGAAUAAAGACUCAAAACAUUUCAUUCAAUUUAAGAAAACAACAUUACAUUCAGAAGCAAUUAAUUCAAUUUUGCUUACUCCAUACAUUUUCAUUUUAUUUUAAUCAAUUAUCUCUCCAACAUUAUUGCAAUAUAAUGCUGUAAUAAACUAUAUUUGUUUUAAAUAGAA
ensembl:lncRNA novel transcript